ensembl:lncRNA
AGGGAAACAGAAGUCUCAGACCUUUCUCCCACUCUUGAGACAAUAUUUCCCUCUCAAUUAAGAAAAAGAUAAGGUACUUUCUGGAAGAAAAAUGAAGUUGAGUUGAAGAAAGCGUACAAAAAAGAAAUCAGCUAUAUAAACCCUCCGUACCAUUAUCACAUGAAUUUCUCACAACAAAUGUUCAGUUCAGUUCAGUCUCUCAGUUGUGUCCGACUCUUUGCAACCCCAUGAACCGCAGCAUGCCAGGCCUCCCUGUCCAUCACCAACUCCCGGAGUCCAUCGAGUUGGUGAUGCCAUCCAACC